AGUAUUAUGUAAAUUCUUUUAUUGUUAUUUUUUUCAUACUAAAAGUAAUUUCUUAUUUUGGUUAUCAAAAAGAUGUUAAAGUUUUACAACAUUUUAGAAUUGUGGUUAUCAAGCAGCAAACAUCUAUUUAUUAAAAGCUCUAUUACCAAUAAUAGCCCCACAUAUAGUCUCAAUAUAGCAGAAAUGCUUUGUCUCCAAUAAAUCAUCAACUUGAUACAUCUGUCUCGCGCACAUUAAA
rnacentral:lncRNA from 1 species